GACUGAUGGGCAUACAGCAUUUCCCAGACAUCUCCACGGAAAUGAGUUCAGUUGGAGCACCUAUGUCAUCUCAUGAAGGACUUGCCAUCAGGCUGACCCACCUAUGAGUCCAAUGAGUAAAUAAACCAACGGACUGACCUUCAAAGGGAAAGAACCAGAAACCUCUCUCCAUGUCAAGGACAUUAUAAUCAUGGCCUUGGAAAUCUUCCUUCUCCAUGACUGGAGCCGCUGGUCCUUCCAGUCAAGGCCAGGAAGAGGAAAUGAAUUCGUGGGAAAGGAGGUCGUGAUCAUAUCGCCCCUGCCCUGAGUUACUCCAGGACCAGAAAACUAAAAAUCACCCCUGUAUGGCCCAGAGCCCGUUGGAAUUAUUCAAACUCUCCAACUGUAA